rnacentral:rRNA from 1 species
UACAGAGGUCCCAAGCGUUGUUCGGAUUCAUUGGGCGUAAAGGGUGCGUAGGCGGCGCGGUAAGUCGGGUGUGAAAUCUCGGAGCUUAACUCCGAAACUGCAUUCGAUACUGCCGUGCUUGAGGACUGGAGAGGAGACUGGAAUUUACGGUGUAGCGGUGAAAUGCGUAGAUAUCGUAAGGAAGACCAGUGGCGAAGGCGGGUCUCUGGACAGUUCCUGACGCUGAGGCACGAAGGCCAAGGGAGCAAACGGG